rnacentral:rRNA from 1 species
UACGUAGGGUGCAAGCGUUGUCCGGAAUUAUUGGGCGUAAAGAGCGCGCAGGCGGUCGAUCAAGUCGCGUGUGAAAGCCCCCGGCUCAACUGGGGAGGGUCACGCGAUACUGAUCGACUCGAAGGCAGGAGAGGGUAGUGGAAUUCCCGGUGUAGUGGUGAAAUGCGUAGAUAUCGGGAGGAACACCAGUGGCGAAGGCGACUACCUGGCCUGUUCUUGACGCUGAGGCGCGAAAGCUAGGGGAGCAAACGGG